rnacentral:tRNA from 1 species
GGGCUCAUAGCUCAGGCGGUUAGAGCGCACGCCUGAUAAGCGUGAGGUCGGUGGUUCAAGUCCACUUGGGCCCACCA